rnacentral:ncRNA from 1 species
GAGGCGCAACUGAAAAGCCAAAUGAGUAAGAA